rnacentral:rRNA from 1 species
UAAAGGGUUUGUAGGCGGCAAGAUAAGUUGGAUAUGAAAGACCGGGGCUUAACCCCGAGUUUGUGUUCAAAACUGUCUAGCUAGAAUUAGGGAGAGGUAAGCAGAAUUCUAAGUGUAGGGGUGCAAUCCGUAGAUACUUAGAGGAAUACCAAAAGCGAAGGCAGCUUACUGGAACUAUAUUGACGCUGAGGAACGAAAGCGUGGGUAGCGAAAAGGAUUAGAUACCCUUGUAGUCCACGCCCUAAACGAUGAUAACUGAGUGUUGGGAUUUUAAUCUCAGUGCUGAAGCUAACGCGAUAAGUUAUCCACCUGAGGAGUACGGUCGCAAGAUUAAAACUCAAAGGAAUAGACGGGGACCCACACAAGCAGUGGAUCACGUGGUUUAAUUCGACAAUAAACGGGGAAUCUUACCCAGACUUGACAUCUAUAGAAUACUUCAGAAAUGAAGUAGUGCCCGUAAGGGAGCUAUAAGACAGGUGCUGCAUGGUCGUCGUCAGCUCGUGCCUUGAGGUGUUCGGUUAAGUCCGUUAACGAGCGCAACCCAUGUCAUUACUUAGAAAUGUGUAAUGAGACUGCCUAGGUUAACUAGGAGGAAGGUGUGGAUGACGUCAGAUCAGCAUGGCUUUUACGUCUGGGGCUACACACAUGAUACAAUGGUAUGUACAAAAAGCAGCAAUAUCGUAAGAUGGAGCUAAUCUUUUAAAUCAUAUCUCAGUCCGGAUUGAGGUCUGAAACUCGACCUCAUGAAGUUGGAAUUGCUAGUAAUCGUGAAUCAGAUAUGUCACGGUGAAUAUGUUCCUGGGUCUUGUACUCACCGCCCGUCACGGCAUGGGAGGUAGUAAUAUCGGAAGUCCCCCUAGUAAUAAGGGGGCCCAUGGUAGGACUACUGACUGGGCUGAAGUCGUNACAAG